rnacentral:tRNA from 1 species
UGAAGUGUAGCUCAGGGGUCGGGUGCUUGCCUAGCAUGCAUGAGACCCUGGGUUCAACCCUCAUCACUGCAA